rnacentral:rRNA from 1 species
AGCAUAUCAAUAAGCGGAGGAAAAGAAACCAACAGGGAUUGCCUCAGUAACGGCGAGUGAAGCGGCAACAGCUCAAAUUUGAAAUCUGGCCCUAGGCCCGAGUUGUAAUUUGCAGAGGAUGCUUUUGGUGCGGUGCCUUCCAAGUUCCCUAGAACGGGACGCCAGAGAGGGUGAGAGCCCCGUACAGUUGGACACCAAGCCUUUGUAAAGCUCCUUCGACGAGUCGAGUAGUUUGGGAAUGCUGCUCAAAAUGGGAGGUAUAUUUCUUCUAAAGCUAAAUACCGGCCAGAGACCGAUAGCGCACAAGUAGAGUGAUCGAAAGAUGAAAAGCACUUUGAAAAGAGGGUUAAACAGCACGUGAAAUUGUUAAAAGGGAAGCGCUUGUGACCAGACUUGCGUCCGGUGAAUCACCCAGCUCUCGCGGCUGGGGCACUUCGCCGGCUCAGGCCAGCAUCAGCUCGCUGUCGGGGACAAAAGCUUCGGGAACGUAGCUCUCUUCGGGGAGUGUUAUAGCCUGUUGCAUAAUACCCUUCGGCGGGCUGAGGUACGCGCUCCGCAAGGAUGCUGGCAUAAUGGUCAUCAGCGACCCGUCUUGAAACACGGACCAAGGAGUCAACCUUAUGUGCGAGUGUUCGGGUGUCAAACCCCUACGCGUAAUGAAAGUGAACGCAGGUGAGAGCUUCGGCGCAUCAUCGACCGAUCCUGAUGUUCUCGGAUGGAUUUGAGUAAGAGCAUAUAGGGUUGGACCCGAAAGAAGGUGAACUAUGCGUGUAUAGGGUGAAGCCAGAGGAAACUCUGGUGGAGGCUCGCAGCGGUUCUGACGUGCAAAUCGAUCGUCAAAUAUGCGCAUGGGGGCGAAAGACUAAUCGAACCUUCUAGUAGCUGGUUUCCGCGA